AUUGAACGCUGGCGGCAGGCCUAACACAUGCAAGUCGAACGAGUGGCGGAAGGGUUAGUAAUGUCUGGGAAACUGCCUGAUGGAUGGGGAUAACUACUGGAAACGGUAGCUACUACCGCCUCCCAUCCGAUGGGCCCAGAUGGGAUUAGCUAGUUGGUGGGGUAACGUCUCACCAAGGCGACGAUCCGUAGCUGGUCUGAGAGGAUGACCAGCCACACUGGAACUGAGACACGGUCCAGACUCCUACGGGAGGCAGCAGUGGGGAAGAUUGCACAAUGGGCGCAAGCCUGAUGCAGCCAUGCCGCGUGUGUGAAGAAGGCCUUCGGGUUGUAAAGUACUUUCAGCGGGGAGGCGUUACCCACAGAAGAAGCACCGGCUAACUCCGUGCCAGCAGCCGCGGUAAUAC
rnacentral:rRNA from 1 species